rnacentral:rRNA from 1 species
ACAUGCCUACAACAUAGCGUUAAUGCCCCCGAUCCCAUUAGAAAUUCACAGUUAAGUGUGCUCAAGAUAGAGUAGUACUGGGAUGGGUGACCGCUUGGGAAGUUGUAGUGUUUUACAUGCC